UACCUGAAGAGGCACGAAGGGAAUGAUUUGGACAAGGGAGACACGUCGGUUGUAAAUCCGUUUGAUAAAGUGGCCCAGGAGUUCAGUUUGUCCCAGGCUGCUCCUGCUGUGUCCAGCUCACCGCAGCCAUCCAGCACUGUCCACAUCCUGUCCUUGUUACUGCGUCUCCGGCAGUGUUGCUGCCACCUCUCACUUCUUAAAAAGACGCUGGACUCAUCGGAGCUGCAGGGUGAUGGGCUCGUCUUGUCUCUGGAAGAGCAGCUCAAUGCUCUGUCCCUCUCCUCCAAUCCCUCACCGUCAGGCCCCAACCCUAAAGAUACAGUGGCUCUCAAUGGCACCCGCUUCUCCUCACAGCUUUUUGAAGAGAGCAGCAAGAGCACCAAGAUUUCUGCGAUCACCUCUGAGUUGAUAGCAGUCAGAGAAAAGAGUGA